AUAGACAGGAUAGUAGUCCUACAACUAGCUCUAGUCUAAAAAGUUGGCUUAGAAAAAGAUGUUUUUGUCUAAGCCAAUUUCCAAUCAUUCUCCUCCUCUUCUUCUUCUUGUGCUGCUGCUGACUCCUGGUUUGGCAGCAGCAGAAUUUGCUGCCACAGAACUCAGCCAUGAUGUGUUACAGCAGCAGGCGGGCGACCGGGUGGUUCAACUCCCUGGCCAGCCAUGGGUGCAUUUCAAGCAGUAUGCAGGAUACAUCACUGUGAAUGAAACUCAUGGAAGAGCACUGUUCUAUUGGUUUUUUGAAGCUACCAGAAAUCCUGAAAAGAAACCUCUUCUGUUAUGGCUUAAUGGAGGUCCUGGGUGUUCAUCAAUUGGAUAUGGUGAAGCAGAGGAGCUAGGUCCAUUUUUGAGCCAGAAAGGCAAACCAGAGCUCAAGCUGAACAAGAAUUCUUGGAAUCGAGUGGCAAAUUUGCUCUUUCUGGAAUCCCCUGUUGGAGUGGGAUUUUCUUACACAAACACUAGUACUGAUAUCAAGGAGCUUGGUGAUACCAUCACAGCUCAAGAUUCCUACAUUUUUUUGGUCAACUGGUUUAAAAGAUUUCCACAAUUUAAAUCCCAUGACUUCUACAUCGCUGGGGAAAGUUAUGCAGGCCAUUACGUUCCCCAGCUGUCAGAGCUCAUCUACGAUAAUAACGAAAAGGUCUCCAAGAAAACCUAUAUCAACUUUAAAGGUUUAAUGGUAGGGAAUGCACUGUUGGAUGAUGAAACAGAUCAAAGAGGACUGAUUGAUUAUGCAUAUGAUCAUGCUGUAAUAUCUGAUCAACUGUACAAUGAGAUUAAGGGUAAAUGCAACUUUAGCACAGAACAUCUGCCGAAAGACUGCAACGAUGCACUUGGUAAGUACUUUGAUGUCUACAAGAUCAUAGAUAUGUACAGCUUAUAUGCUCCAACCUGUGUUAAAAGCAACUCCACUAGCAUCAGAAAACUUCCUGUGGUCCGAGGAGCUGCUCCCAAGUUAUUUUCCCAGAUUGAUGGAUGGCACAGGAAACCAGCAGGUUAUGAUCCUUGUGCAUCAGACUACACAGAGUUAUAUCUGAACAGGCCAGAUGUUCAAAAAUCUCUCCAUGCAAAUGUAACUAAAAUCCCCUAUAAAUGGACACACUGCAGUGAUAAUAUCACAUUCUGGAGUGAUGCCCCAGCUUCAAUACUUCCGAUCAUUAAGAAACUCAUUGAUGGUGGUCUACGAGUAUGGGUUUUUAGUGGAGAUACUGAUGGAAGAAUUCCAGUAACAUCAACAAGGUAUACUCUGAAAAAGUUUGGUUUAAAAAUCACCCAAGAUUGGACUCCUUGGUAUACUUUCCAUAAGCAGGUUGGUGGAUGGACAGUGCAGUACGAUGGGUUGACGUUUGUCACAGUAAGAGGAGCUGGUCAUCAGGUUCCCACGUUCAAACCCAAGCAAGCCCUUCAGAUCGUCAGACAUUUCUUAGACAAUAAUAAACUGCCAUCCGCAGCAUUUUAACAUAAUUAUUCCUAUUGUUUUCUUACAAUAUUCUUUUCUCUUGCAUAUCAGAUCAAGGAAAAGAAAUGUCAUACAUCAAGCUACAAUAAUACAACCACAGAAUGACAGAAUUGAGAGUCAAUAAUAGAUUCUAAGCAUCAGAUCAGAAAGGCAGGAACAAGGAUUUACUUCCUCACUUUGAAGAAAAUCUGACAUGUAGCAGUACAACGACGGCAGUUUGAAUUUGACGAUCAAGACAAUCAAGAAAACGUGUAUGUUGAGUACAACUAUUACUGUUUUCAUUUGAUGAUCAAGACAAUCCUAUCAAGUUACCGAGUAAAAAAA